UCCCUGAUGGUCCAGUGGUUAGGACUCCAGGCUUACACUGCCGAGGGCCUGGGUUCGACCCCUGGUCGGGGAA